AUUGAACGCUGGCGGCAUGCCUAACACAUGCAAGUCGAACGAGUGGCGGACGGGUGAGUAAUAUAUGGGAAACUGCCGGGUGAAGGGGGAUAACUAAUGGAAAGAUUAGCUAAUACCGCAUAUUAUUAGAUCGGCCGAGAUUGGAUUAGCUGGUUGGUGGGGUAACGGCUCACCAAGGCGACGAUCCGUAGCUGGUCUGAGAGGAUGACCAGCGCCACUGGAACUGAGACAAGGUCCAGACUUCGACGGGAGGCAGCAGUGGGGAAGAUUGCCCAAUGGGCGCAAGCCUGAUGCAGCCAUGCCGCGUGUAUGAAGAAGGCCUUCGGGUUGUAAAGUACUUUCAGCGGGGAGGCGUUACCCGCAGAAGAAGCACCGGCUAACUCCGUGCCAGCAGCCGCGGUAAUUC
rnacentral:rRNA from 1 species